UACGGAGGGUGCAAGCGUUAUCCGGAUUCACUGGGUUUAAAGGGUGCGUAGGUGGGCUAGUAAGUCAGUGGUGAAAUCCUCCGGGCUUAACCCGGAAACUGCCAUUGAUACUAUUAGUCUUGAAUACCAUGGAGGUGAGCGGAAUAUGUCAUGUAGCGGUGAAAUGCUUAGAUAUGACAUAGAACACCAAUUGCGAAGGCAGCUCGCUACGCGGUUAUUGACACUGAGGCACGGAAAGCGUGGGGAUCAAACAGGGAUU
rnacentral:rRNA from 1 species